CAGGAGUGGGCGGAGCUCAGUAAUUAUUCUGGCUGAGGACCUGUUAUGAGGAGCAGCAGGAGAGAAUAACCCUGGCAUAUCUGCUAAAAAGCAGGAAGACGUCAGUGACCCACCAGAGAGGAGCGCAGAGGAGAAUACACCUCUGCCUCUUUCAUCUUCUGCAGUGAACACAACAGACUCCAUUUCUGGUCCUUCAUGCUGGUUGCCGUUGGGAGGCUACUAUGCACCUUCAAAGUUGAAGUCGGCGGGUUCAGCCAACUUUAGUCUAAGAUGGGCAGCUUAAAAGGUAGAAAAAGUGGUGGACAGUUCUUGCUUUGUGAUAAAUACCUGUAGGAGACAAAAUGCACACCUUGA